rnacentral:rRNA from 1 species
AGUCGAGCGGCAGCGCGGGGGCAACCCUGGCGGCGAGCGGCGGACGGGUGAGUAAUACAUCGGAACGUGUCCUUUCGUGGGGGAUAACCAGUCGAAAGACUGGCUAAUACCGCAUGAGAUCUCACGAUGAAAGCGAGGGACCGCAAGGCCUCGCGCGAUUGGAGCGGCCGAUGUCGGAUUAGCUAGUUGGCGGGGUAAAAGCCCACCAAGGCAACGAUCCGUAGCUGGUUUGAGAGAACGACCAGCCACACUGGGACUGAGACACGGCCCAGACUCCUACGGGAGGCAGCAGUGGGGAAUUUUGGACAAUGGGGGCAACCCUGAUCCAGCCAUGCCGCGUGUGUGAAGAAGGCCUUCGGGUUGUAAAGCACUUUCGGCCGGAACGAAAUCGCCUUCGUUAAUAGCGGGGGUGGAUGACGGUACCGGAAGAAGAAGCACCGGCUAACUACGUGCCAGCAGCCGCGGUAAUACGUAGGGUGCGAGCGUUAAUCGGAAUUACUGGGCGUAAAGGGUGCGCAGGCGGCGUCGCAAGUCAGGCGUGAAAUCCCCGGGCUUAACCUGGGAAUGGCACUUGAAACUACGAUGCUGGAGUAUGGCAGAGGGAGGUGGAAUUCCACGUGUAGCGGUGAAAUGCGUAGAGAUGUGGAGGAACACCAAUGGCGAAGGCAGCCUCCUGGGCCAAUACUGACGCUCAUGCACGAAAGCGUGGGGAGCAAACAGG